rnacentral:snRNA from 1 species
GAAUGUGAGGGAGAUCUGGCUGACUUCUGUCACCCGUUGAUUGCCAGCGUUGACUGGGCUGAUCUGGCUGGCUAGGCUGGUGUCCUCUUCCUCCCUCACUGCUGUGGGCUCGGUUGAAGAGGACAACCUUCCCCCAUUCUCCAGUCAAAGGUAUACAAGAGUAGCUGUUCCCCUGCCAACACCUCCAGACAAGCUCUCAGGAAAUGUGUGAGGAUGAGCCACUGUCCAUACUUGU